GAGGAAAGCUAGAGGCGGGCCUAAUACAUGCAAGUCGAACGGGAAAGGUGGCAACACCUUGAGAGUGGCGUACGGGUGCGUAACGCGUAUACAACCUGCCUGUUACACGGGGAUAGCCUUGCGAAAGCGAGAUUAAUACCCGAUGGUACUAUUGAGCGGCAUCGCUUGGUAGUUAAAGCUGAGGCGGUAACAGAGGGGUAUGCGUCCCAUUAGCUAGUUGGUAGUGUAACGGACUACCAAGGCGACGAUGGGUAGGGGUUCUGAGAGGAUGAUCCCCCACACUGGUACUGAGAUACGGACCAGACUCCUACGGGAGGCAGCAGUAGGGAAUAUUGGGCAAUGGACGGAAGUCUGACCCAGCCACGCCGCGUGCAGGAAGAAGGUCCUCUGGAUUGUAAACUGCUUUUCUUGGGGAAGAAAACCCUUCUGCGGAAGGAAUUGACGGUACUCAAGGAAUAAGCAUCGGCUAACUCCGUG
rnacentral:rRNA from 1 species